UGGAACUGAGACACGGUCCAAACUCCUACGGGAGGCAGCAGUGGGGAAUAUUGCACAAUGGGCGAAAGCCUGAUGCAGCAACGCCGCGUGAGUGAUGAAGGCCUUCGGGUCGUAAAACUCUGUCCUCAAGGAAGAUAAUGACGGUACUUGAGGAGGAAGCCCCGGCUAACUACGGGCCAGCAGCCGCGGUAAUACGUAGGGGGCUAGCGUUAUCCGGAUUUACUGGGCGUAAAGGGUGCGUAGGCGGUCUUUCAAGUCAGGAGUGAAAGGCUACGGCUCAACCGUAGUAAGCUCUUGAAACU
rnacentral:rRNA from 1 species